UGCAGUCGAGCGGACAGAUGGGAGCUUGCUCCCUGAUGUUAGCGGCGGCACGGGUGAGUAACACGUGGGUAACCUGCCUGUAAGACUGGGAUAACUCCGGGAAACCGGGGCUAAUACCGGAUGGUUGUUUGAACCGCAUGGUUCAGACAUAAAAGGUGGCUUCGGCUACCACUUACAGAUGGACCCGCGGCGCAUUAGCUAGUUGGUGAGGUAACGGCUCACCAAGGCGACGAUGCGUAGCCGACCUGAGAGGGUGAUCGGCCACACUGGGACUGAGACACGGCCCAGACUCCUACGGGAGGCAGCAGUAGGGAAUCUUCCGCAAUGGACGAAAGUCUGACGGAGCAACGCCGCGUGAGUGAUGAAGGUUUUCGGAUCGUAAAGCUCUGUUGUUAGGGAAGAACAAGUGCCGUUCAAAUAGGGCGGCACCUUGACGGUACCUAACCAGAAAGCCACGGCUAACUACGUGCCAGCAGCCGCGGUAAUACGUAGGUGGCAAGCGUUGUCCGGAAUUAUUGGGCGUAAAGGGCUCGCAGGCGGUUUCUUAAGUCUGAUGUGAAAGCCCCCGGCUCAACCGGGGAGGGUCAUUGGAAACUGGGGAACUUGAGUGCAGAAGAGGAGAGUGGAAUUCCACGUGUAGCGGUGAAAUGCGUAGAGAUGUGGAGGAACACCAGGUGGCGAAAGGCGACUCUCUGGUCUGUAACUGACGCUGAGGAGCGAAAGCGUGGGGGAGCGAACAGGAUUA
rnacentral:rRNA from 1 species